UUGGUGGUUAAGAAGGAAAUGGAAAGUUCUAGAACUCUGUCAAAAGAACUAACACAGCCACAAAAUUCUCCAUACAGGGUUUCAGCAGAAACCUUAAUGAUCCAACGAACCCUUAAAGAAAUGAGAGCGUGGAAUAAAACGACUCACAACAAGUGUUCAUACGCUGAGAAGACUGGAGUUUUUCUGCAGCUUCCUUUAAAAGGGCCCAGUUCCUCGGAGAUCUACAGCGAAUUGAGGUUUUUGUGGUUACUGAAUUGUAAAAGCAGGACUGCGGUUGCUUCAAGCCAGGAACCUGAACGACCCUGAGGUUAAAGCUCUUUCCUCCACACAGAAAAAGUGCCU